AGAUGAGUGAGGGCAGGUGGCACGCACAAGCUCCCGGUUUUUAAUCUGUCCACCAUGUCCCCAUAUUCCUGAACAGGUCACCACCUCUCCAACUGAGUAGAGGCAUCUAAUGAACCUCUGGACCAUUUGCCUUUGAAAAUAGCAAGGAGAGAAUGCAUUGGAGCUGUUGGAGAUGGCCUGGGAGCUCUGCCUGCCUUGCUGGGCCAUGCUGGGAGUGGCUGGAAGCUUCUGGGAGCAGAGCAGUGGAGUGGAGAGAGAGUGUGGCCAGAGGGAUAGUCACACUCCCAGUCUCACACAUCAGUGGCCAACGCAGUGGCGAGAAGUACGGUGAAGGAGAGUGUGAAGCUGGGGCCUGGACUAGCCUUUGGAAGUCAUGACAGAGACCAUGAGGACAGGAACGUGUGAGACAGCAGGCAGCCUGGGUGGGAGGCUCCAGCAGAGGAAACUGGGUGCUCACGCCCUGAGGCAGGGGGAGCUGGGAGUCUGUGAGGAACAGAACAAAGUGUUUCUCACAUCCAACCUCCUCUCUCCUCACCUCUGCUACCAUCCUGCUUCUGGCCUCUGAUCCAGUCUCUUGGCCCCUUUCCUCAGUUCCUUUGAACCCAUAUUACUGGUUGCUACCAGGUUAAUUGGUGUAAAAUAUAGCUCUGAUUGUAACACUCAUCCAGAUGCAGCUGUGUUUCCCAAUGGCCCCCUGAAAGAAGGCUUUGUGUGCUGUGACCCUGUUGUUCCCAUGUUUCCCACCAUUUUCCUGUGUGUGGCCUCAAUUUUAGCCACACUAGGCACUCACCCUCCUGCAAACAUGCCUUGGG
rnacentral:lncRNA from 1 species